GUCACUUUGCCGGAGUGGUUAACGGGAUCGCCUGCUAAUAGCCAAGCGGUUGGGCUUUGCCCGCGAGUGUUCGAAUCGCUCAGGUGACG